rnacentral:rRNA from 1 species
GAUGAACGCUGGCGGCGUGCCUAAUACAUGCAAGUCGAGCGAACAGACGAGGAGCUUGCUCCUCUGACGUUAGCGGCGGACGGGUGAGUAACACGUGGAUAACCUACCUAUAAGACUGGGAUAACUUCGGGAAACCGGAGCUAAUACCGGAUAAUAUAUUGAACCGCAUGGUUCAAUAGUGAAAGACGGUUUUGCUGUCACUUAUAGAUGGAUCCGCGCCGCAUUAGCUAGUUGGUAAGGUAACGGCUUACCAAGGCAACGAUGCGUAGCCGACCUGAGAGGGGAUCCGGCACCACUGAAACGAGGACACGGUCCAGACCCCAACGGGGGGCAGCAGUAGGGAACUUUCGGAAAGGGGCGAAGGCCGAACGGGGCAACGCGGGUGAGGGAAGGAAGGUCUUGGAACGGAAAAACUCUGUAAUAGGGGAGAAAAAAAGGUGUAGGUAACUAGGCACGUCUGGAGGUAACCUAACCAGAAACCCCCGGCAAACAACU